UGAAGCCAAUACUUUCCAAGGAAACAACACUCUUCCUUCAACUCAUCAUGGUUUGAAAACAAGAUUUCUUCAUUGCAUUUGUUUGUAGAAUCAAAUUGGGAAAAGUAUAAAGGGCUAGCAAGAGCUGCAGCCAUUAAUUCAAAAUACGAGAUCUUAGAAAACAUGAAGCAAAAAUCAUAAAGCAUACUUUAUUUGUGAAAGAUGGAAAUACAUUGACGAGUUCAAAUUCAAUACAUAAACAUGGUACGUAAUACAAUAACAAAUAACUUACUAUUUUAUUCAACCAUAUUUGAAAAUUGAAAUAACGGAUAAACAACUCUGGAGUGCAUCCAUAAGUUACAUACUCAUAUCAUGAACAAAUAGAGAUUUGAUAAUUUCUAUCAGUUCUUCUCCCACAUUUGUGAAAUGGUUUUUAUUUUCGUAUAAUACGUUUAUCACCCGUGCUAAGUUGAUAACACGCGUCAGUAGAGGCAUCGGAACAUCUUUACAUAUGAGGGUCUCAAGGGAUAUAUCUUUCCAUGCAUCUUCGACUUGCUUAUACAGCAAGUCAUGGACAUACUCCUCAGUGACAUCAUAUUGCUUCAUGUAACUUUCAACAAGAGAUGCAACAUGUACUCUUUCUUGCUCUUGCUGUGUUUUUAUUAACGAAAUUAAUUAGUCUAAACUACACCGGAUAUUUUGGCUGUUGAAUAAGGAUGUUAAUCUCGUUGUACAACAACAAUGUGAAUAAAAAUAGAGAUGCAUGUACCUUGUGAGACGCAAUGUCAUUUUUGAGUCUAAAAAUUACACAUGCAGCUUUGACAAUAGGAGGAUCCGUGAGAACCCAUUUGAACGACUCGUCAGAGACAAUAUCCCCCAUGCCAACAAAAGAUGCUGCGGUAAGCAUGCUAUAGCCACAACUUGUUAAUCUAUAUGACAUGUUCUCCUCCAUGGUUGGUAUGUAACCCUCGUUAACCCACUUUGCUUCUGUCAUGUAGCUUUUAAUAAACUCUUUCGUCUGUAGGCAUCAAUUUCCUACAUCUAAUUAAGAUUAUCGUAACUAAAAUGAUUAUAAGAAAUGACAGAUGUUGAAACUUACAAACUCUUUGGCAUAGUUGACACGAUAUACAUUCCCCUCAUUUGCCAUGAUUUCUUCCAUUUCUUUGUAAACAUCUAUAAGUCCUUGGUAGAUUGGUUUCAUGUAGUUUGGAAGCACAUCUAAGCAUGUAAUCGACCACCUAUAGUUAUUUUACAAAUUUCUUGGUUAAUUUGGUCAAGUUAUUCGACAUAAUUAAGCUUAUUUAAGUUCCUCUUUCGUGUACAUAUACCUUUGAACUGCUUCAGUAAAUAUUUCAAGCUCUUCAAAAAUACCAUAAGCAUCAUAAGUAUCAUCAAUCAUCGUUGACAUUGCAAACAAUUUUGUUAAGAAAAUUCUAGCACAUGAAUAUUGUGGCUCAGGGUAUACACCAAUUGCACAAAAGUACAAUUCAACCAAUCGGUCCCGUGUAUAAGGUACCUUGUUCGGGAUAUCGAAACCUUUCCACCACCUACAAUAAUAUUGAUUAAUACAAAUGGAGAAGACUAAAAUAUCGAUACAUUGAUAUAUGCAACUAGAGAAGAAAGAGGUGUAUAUAUACUUGGAAACUUCACUAAGCUCUUUCUUGUGUAGUGAUUGAAGUAGAUUGAACCCAAACUUUGAAAGUUGAAGUAAAGACUCAUUACAAGACGCUUGUUUUUGGUAGAAAGGAAUGUAGUGUAACGCCUCAAGUCUUGGCAACCUUCUCUGUAUAGGAUGCUUUAGUGUCUCCUGUAUAUGUAUUGAAAGAGUAGAGUUACACCGAACAGGAUCCUUUGCUAGUGUUUCAAGAUGAGUUUUUGUGAAAAGAAGAGCUUCGUCUAGUAAAACUUCUCCUUUCACCCUCAUAUAUGUUGCCUCAUAUAACUCAAGCAUCUCAUGAAUGUCAUUGGUCAACCAUUCCUUAAAAGCUCCAUUCUUUUCUUUGUAGUUACUGAAAAUAUCUGUAUAUGGUUAAUAUAACAGAUUGUUAGGUUCGACUACAUAUAUGAUUAAUAUAUUGAGCAUAUGC
rnacentral:lncRNA from 1 species